GGGAUUGCCUUAGUAACGGCGAGUGAAGCGGCAAUAGCUCAAAUUUGAAAGCUGGCCCCUUCGGGGUCCGCGUUGUAAUUUGUAGAGGAUGAUUCGGCGAGGGCUCCCGUCUAAGUCCCUUGGAACAGGGCGUCAUAGAGGGUGAGAAUCCCGUAUGUGAUGGGCUGCCUUAGCCAUGUGAAUCUCCUUCGACGAGUCGAGUUGUUUGGGAAUGCAGCUCUAAAUGGGAGGUAAAUUUCUUCUAAAGCUAAAUACCGGCCAGAGACCGAUAGCGCACAAGUAGAGUGAUCGAAAGAUGAAAAGCACUUUGGAAAGAGAGUUAAAAAGUACGUGAAAUUGUUGAAAGGGAAGCGCUUGCAGCCAGACUUGUCCGCAGUUGCUCAGCUUGUCUCCUGACAGGCGUACUCUUCUGCGGCCAGGCCAGCAUCAGUUCGGGCGGUCGGAUAAAGACCUGGGGAAUGUAGCUCCUCUCGGGGAGUGUUAUAGCCCUGGGUGCAAUGCGGCCAGCCUGGACUGAGGAUCUCGCUUCGGCUAGGAUGCUGGCGUAAUGGCUGUAAGCGGCCCGUCUUGAAACACGGACCAAGGAGUCUAACAUCUAUGCGAGUGUUUGGGUGUCAAACCCAUGCGCGUAAUGAAAGUGAACGGAGGUGGGAACCCUCACGGGUGCACCAUCGACCGAUCCUGAUGUCUUCGGAUGGAUUUGAGUAAGAGCAUAGCUGUUGGGACCCGAAAGAUGGUGAACUAUGCCUGAAUAGGGUGAAGCCAGAGGAAACUCUGGUGGAGGCUCGCAGCGGUUCUGACGUGCAAAUCGAUCGUCAAAUUUGGGUAUAGGGGCGAAAGACUAAUCGAACC
rnacentral:rRNA from 1 species